rnacentral:tRNA from 1 species
GCCGGCGUGGCGGAACUGGUAGACGCAGCGGACUCAAAAUCCGCCGCCCUUAAAAGCGUGUGGGUUCGAUUCCCUCCGCCGGCACCA